CCUACGCGGGGCUGCAGUGGGGAAUAUUGCACAAUGGGCGAAACCCUGAUGCAGCGACGCCGCGUGAGUGAUGAAGGCCUUCGGGACGUAAAGCUCUGUCCGCAGGGAAGAAAAUGACGGUACUUGAGAAGGAAGCCCCGGCUAACUACGUGCCAGCAGCCGCGGUAAUACGUAGGGGGCACGCGUUAUCCGGAAUUACUGGGCGUAAAGGGAGCGUAGGUGGCUUCGUAAGUCCGGAGGGAAAUGUCAGGGCUUAAACGUGUAACUGCUUUGUAAACUGUGGAGCUGGAGUGCAGGAGAGGAGAGUGGAAUUCCUAGUGUAGCGGUGAAAUGCGUAGAUAUUAGGAGGAACACCAGUGGCGAAGGCGGCUCUCUGGACUGUAACUGACGCUGAGGCACGAAAGCGUGGGGAGCAAACAGGAUUAGAUACCCGAGUAGUC
rnacentral:rRNA from 1 species